UGGGCAUGCCCUUGGCCAGGUGCAACGUGGGCGUGUCUUUGGCCAGGUGAAACGUGGGCGUGUCUUUGGCCAGGUGCAACGUGGGCGUGUCUUUGGCCAGGUUUAACGUGGGCGUGUCUUGGCCAGGUUUAACGUGGGCGUGUUCUUUGCCAGGUGAAAUGUGCGUUGUCAUUGGCCAGGUGAAACGUGGGCGUGUCUUGGCCAGGUGAAAUGUGGGCGUGUCAU